UACGAAGGGGGCUAGCGUUGUUCGGAAUUACUGGGCGUAAAGCGCACGUAGGCGGAUAUUUAAGUCAGGGGUGAAAUCCCGCAGCUCAACUGCGGAACUGCCUUUGAUACUGGGUAUCUUGAGUAUGGAAGAGGUAAGUGGGAUUCCGAGUGUAGAGGUGAAAUUCGUAGAUAUUCGGAGGAACACCGAAGGCGAAGGCAGUCUCCUGGCAAGUUACUGACGCUCAGGUGCGAAAGCUAGGGGAGCGAACAGG
rnacentral:rRNA from 1 species